ensembl:lncRNA
GGUGGGAUUUGUUUUACACACGUAUUAUAUUGGAUCAGGUUUCCAUUUCAGAAGCCCUCUCCCUGACGAGGUUCCCACACUGCAAUACGGACCCACAGAACACUGACCCCACUGCCAGCCUCAAGACCCAGCCGGCCAUACUAGUGGUCUGCAUCCACCUGUCCUCUCCCACAGAACCAAGGUGUACAAAGUGGACUGUACUGAAUAGACAGUACAAACACCUGUCCUCUCCCACAGAACCAAGGUGUACAAAGUGGACUGUACUGAAUAGACAGUACAAACACUAGCUCCUGAGGACAAUGAGAUGAAAGGGCGGGUAAAAGCUGUGUCCGCUCUGUGUUGGUUCUCAGGGAGCGAGGAGAGGACUGAGGACUGGGGAGAGGAGGGUCAGUGUUGAUACAGAGUGUGCUCACACACACGCAUGGAGCAAACACACACACACACAAACCCAUCAGAAGAUUUGCUAGCUACCCCAGGAAGAGGGAAUGGGAAGUCUAACAUAGAACCCUGUAGCCCUGAAAAAGCUUUAUAUUCACUCAAGGAAGAAAAUCCAGAGCACAGUGUUUCUUCACAUUCUUCAUCUCUCUAAUUGUUCCAAAUAUACCAUGUUUUCUCUCUUUCUUUCUUUCACUCACUCCACUUUUGUGUCGGUCAUUCAGGCUCUUUUUUCCCCCCUCUCACUCCUACACAGUUCCACAGGACUCAGGAACACAGACACACCCCACUGGGCACACACUGGUUGGAUCAAUGUUGUUUCCACUUCGUUUCAAUGAAAUUACGUUGAACCACAGUGAAAUUGGCAUUGAAUUGACAUCUGCCCAAUGGGACACAACACAGACCCCUCAACCUUGUACCCUUUGUCAUUGUUAUGUCAACCAACACAAGUGAUUGUUCUGUCCUUUGUGUUAUUGGUUUGUGGUUAUACUUUCUUAUUUUUUCCCAACAUCAGCUGUAAGAUUUUCUCUCUGUGGCGUUUGUGUUUGGUAAAUAUGGUGUGGGCCUUUCUUAUUUUACGUACCCUGUCUCCUGAUGAUCUGCACACUAGAAAGGGAAUCACUUUGAAUCUGAAUCGUACGGUUUCUUAUAGAGUUAGAGCUUCCUUUUAUUCAGACGCCUAGUUAACUAUUCCAAUGUAAGAUGCUUUUUCUAAGUGCAGAAUUUCUCUCUUCGUAGCUUUUGACCCAGUAGAUGUAUACAUGUACCACCUCGGUAGAGAAGAAGCAUUCACAUUAGGAUUCAUCUGUGGAUGUCAAUCUGACCAUGACACUGAAAAAGCGAUUCACAUUUUUGAAAGAUUCUCUACAGCGAUCUUCAUUGAUAAACUCUUUCGUAGAACUCUCUCGUAGAACUCUUUUUGACGGUACACUGACCUCUAGCCUGUGUUUCAGUCCUCUCUCACAGUGGGAUCUACCACCCAAUACCCUGGCAGGAAGUUCAGCCAAGAGAGCCAAUAUCAAAAGUACAUAGAUUCUCUUUCAGUCUCUUGAGCGAGCAUUAUUCCCCAUUAUUCCCCAUAGUGCCUCAGUUCCCUCAGAGAACCAAAGUUACAGUCGUAACCAGGCAUUUUCUAUUUAACUCUGGGAAAUCAUCUAUUUCUCCAAUAGGCUGAAAUGAUAACAGAUAACAGACCUUGGGCUCCAAUAGCUUUCAGCGAGUCAAGUGAUCAAAUAAAGUUGCCGAGUGAGCCUUGGAAAGCCUUGAAGGAGAUGUGGAGGAGCCCAGAGGUUCAACCAAGAGAACAAGGUGACAGUUAUACUCCACAUACACUCAGACUGUGCUGCUCUAUAGAACAUGGUGAAUCACGCAAUGGGGCUGAAUGCAAACAAAAGUACAAAGAAAGAUGAUGCAGUAAAAAAAUAUCCAUGCCAAGAAAGACAUGUCUUCUUAGUGUGUGUUUGCUGACUCCCUCAAAGAAGUGAUGUAUUUAUUAACUUCCUGAUAGUUUCAACAUUUCAGCCAUAGGUCCAACUCGUUGAACUGUAUCUACCCCAUUGUACCUAUCACUUGAUACAUCUACAGUACCUGCAGCUAUCCCAUUUCUCCCUAUCCAUCCAGCUCCUAGCCCAGGGCAGCUCCCAUGACAUGACCAGGCAGAUCAGGCCUAAGCAUGUGUACGUCCCAAAUGGCACCCUAUUCCCUACAAAGUGCACUACUUUUGACCAUAGCCCUAUGGACCCUGGUCAAAAGUAGUGCGGGGGGGGGUGCUAUUUGGGACACAGCCCAGGUGGACUAGCCAGGCAGCAUGCUGCAGUCAACACAUGGACCAGUGCUGGGCUCCCCGUGGCUGUCCAUAGCUCCGUAGGUCCAUUUGAUGUCCAGAGAGAGAGACCAAUUGGUGGUGACAGAAGGAUGAGAGGGAAAGGUAGAGGAAACGGGAGAGGGGAGAGGAUAUGAGAGAUAGAAGCGGAUCAGAGAGAAUGGUAUAGGAGAAGGAAUGGGAUGAGAAGGGAGAUGGAACAAGGGAGGAAGAGAAGCGUUUGGGGGUUUUCUGAGGUUGGUCAGUCUCUUUUCUGUUCACUGAUGGUCUCUGUGAAAAUGUCACUUUGAAUGAGGAGCCAAUUAAAAUGUCUGUUUGUCCGUCCAUCUGCCUGUCCGGUUCUCCUUGAAGAUUUUACCAUUGACAGCUUGUUGUGAAACGUUAUCAGGAAAAUGUAUUUGUAGGAUGACAAUGUUUAAAGCAAUACUGACACUUAUUCUGUAUCUGGAGCAUUUGAGUUGCACUUCGUGACCUGCAAAGUCAAGGGAGUUUAUGUACCAAAUUCUUGAAUUUUAUCCAAAUCAUGUGCCUCUCUCUCUAUCUGCACUAACUGACCCUCUUUCACUCCCCUACACUCCCUUACCUGCCCCCCUCUAUCUCUCUCUCGUUGUGUGAUCUGUUAUGGGUCAUUAUCUAACAGUGGCAUUUAGUGUUGUAGCUGACAUAACAUCUUGUGAUGGGCUAGGGGCCAGGUGGUUGCGUGAAUCGUUAUAAUAGUUAUUGGCCCAUAUUAAACGAUACAGAGGAGAGGAAUUAGACAUUGCUAGUCAACCCCUGACCUAUACAUCUGCUGAGUCACUGCCUCAUCUGAAUAAGGCCUUUCACAAUUUCAGUGAGGCCUAGGGGGAACUGAACAGUAACAGACCCAAUGGAGUGAAUGCAAAAGCAAUAUUCACAGCCUAUGAUGACCUGUGUGCAUGCGUGGUUGCGUACGUGUUCUGCGGUAGCAUUUGUUCAAGGGGUAUUGUGAAUGUGAUUUGGUGGCCAACAUUAAUAAGCUACUAUGGUAGGACAGCACUCUAUUGCUUUUCCUAAUAUGUAUUGAGUAGUCCAUCUCUAAUUCCUCGAUGUGACCACACUUUCCACUGUAUCUGUUCAAGUCUGACAACACCUAACCAAUGAGUUCCGUCACCUACAGGGAUUUCAGAUAGCUUUUGGAGUGUUAUAUUUCAACGUGGAUUUCUAGAAACAUCCAUUUCUCCACUGCUUGGUGUCCAUGCUGACUACCACAGAUGGAGGUGGAUGGGUGAUUGAGAGAGACAAGAAUCCGGAAUUGUAGCUAUACCUUAAUUGAGCUGUGGACAAAAGGAGUGCACAUGGUGGGAUAUAGGGUUGGGGCCUUUCAGAUGCUGGGUCUUGGAACAAUGAUUCAUUCUUUACACUUUGUCCUCUACCUCCCUCCUUCUCGUCUACUGUUGCAAAUCAUAUUGUAUUUGUCACAUGUGCCGAAUACAGGGAAAUACUUACUAACAAGCCCUUCACCAACAAUGUAGUUUAAGAAAAUACCUAAAAAAAAAGUAAGAGAUAACAAAAACAAAUAAUUAAAGAGCCUCAGUAAAUAACAGCGGGGCUAUAUACAGGGGGUACCGGUACAGAGUCAAUGUGCGGGGGCACCAGUGUCGAGGUAAUUGAGGUACAUGUAGGUAGAGUUAUUAAAGUGGCUAUGCAUAGAUAAUAACAGAAAGUAGCAGCAGUGUAGAAAGGGGGGGCAAUGCAAAUAGUCUGGGUAGCCAUUUGAUUAGAUGUUCAGGAGUCUAAUGGCUUGGGGGUAGAAGCUGUUUAGAAGCCUCUUGAACCUAGACUUGGCUCCAGUACUGCUUGCCGUGUGGUAGCAGAGAGAACAGUCUAUGACUGGGGUGGCUGGAGUCUUUGACAAUUUUUAGGGCCUUUCUCUGAAACAUACUGGUAUAGAGGUCCUGGGUGGCAGGAAGCUUGGCCCCGGUGAUGUACUGGGCCGUACGUACCACCCUCUGGACCAUGUUAGUUUGUUGGUGAUGUGGACGCCAAGUAACUUGAAGCUCUCAACCUGCUCCACUACAGCCCUGUCGAUGAGAAGGGGGCGUGCUCUAUAGGAGGAGGAGGUAUAAUAUAGUCUCAUCAUAUAGUCUCAUCAUUGCCGGUGAUCAGGCCUACCACUGUUGUAUCGUCAGCAAACUUAAUGAUGGUGUUGGAGUCUUGCCUGGCCGUGCAGUCAUGAGUGAACAGGGAGUACAGGAGGGGACUGAGCACACACCCCUGAGGGGCCCCUGUGUUGAGGAUCAGCGUGGCGGAUGUGUUGUUACCACCUGGGGGCGGCCCGUCAGGAAGUCCAGGAUCUAGUUGCAGAGGGAGGUCCCUGGGUCCUUAGCUUAGUGAUGAGCUUUGAGGGCACUAUGGUGUUGAACGCUGAGCUGUAGUCAAUGAAUAGCAUUCUCACAUAGGUGUUCCAAUGCUAGCUUCUCUCUGUAUCGGUAAACACAGGAUUAAUAUGACCCUUGGCAACAGCACUGUGCGUCCCUGACACAUGGAUACAAAAGAGGGAUGAGAGAGGGAUGUUGUGUGUCAUACCGGAUAAUUGGUUUGUCUUUAAGUGACACUCACUGUGUCUCAAAUGGCACCCUGUGUGUGUGUGCGUGCAUGCGUGCGUGCGUGCGCGUGUGUGUGUGCGUGCGUGCCUGGUCUGACAGUCCUCUGAGCGCCUAAAGAGAAAAACCCUUCAAAUGUUUGUCCUCCAGAACAUCUCUUCCUUCUUCAUCUCUCUUUUUUUCAUCCCUCCAGUUCUACAUGCAUCUUGUUCAAAACACACCCAGGAUUUAUAUUUUAAACGUAUGUUCCCAUACAGUUGUUUUGAUCACAUUUCACAUUUCCGUAAAGGUUAGUUAUGUGGGGAUUUUUGUUUUGUGGCAUAAUCGAAAGGCUGUGUUCAUUCAUAACAUGCAAAGGUCAACUAUGUAACUGGUAUGUGAGGGAGAUUGUACAGUAUGUGUCGCGGCUAUAUGCGUGUGAGAACACAGUUAUUCAUGUGACUUCCAAUCAGAUGAGAGGUUAGCUCUGUUUGCUCCUAUUCCAUCUGCCUGAGCUGGGUGAAGCUCACACGCGCACACACACAUACACACACAUCAACUGUAGACUGCCUCGUGCAAUUACAAAGUCAUGUGCAAUUGUCUAGGGGAGCUCACUUGCACGCAAUUCCAAAGUGUGUCAUAAUACAUCCUAUUCAGAACAGAACCUUAGAUUAAGAAUAACAUCUUGGCAUUUAGUAUUUGACAAGGACGUGAUAGUGGUCACAUGCUCUUGUUGACACAUUUCUUUCAGAGUACUACUAUUGCCAUAAUUCCACCCAAUCAGUGGGCAGCAGCAACUCUACAAUAGGAACCAAACAUGGACAAUAGGGCAUUGAAAGCAUUGCGCUCCCAGUGGUUUAAACAACAACAGGCACAGUUUGAAGCCCAACAUCCUUCCUCAGACUUUGCUUCAUGUUUUAACUCUGUCCUGUGUGAUGUUUUUUUAAGCUAUUGCCAGUUCUGUGCCAUUCAUUCUGUCUGCGUCCUAAAUGACUCCCUAUUGACCAGGUCCCAAAUGGCUCUGGUCAAAAGUAGUGCACUAUACAGUAUAGCGAAUUGGGUGCCAUUGGGAACGAACAAUAUGUCUCUCUGUUUGUGGGCAUAUGUUUGAUCACGUUAGCCACAACGAGAACCAAACAAGCUUUACACGUUCUUAAACGAGACAUAUGAGACUUGUUUUAUGUAUUUAUCUAUAGCCGGCACUUCACAAACUGAAUAAUUAUUACUGUUUCUUCUCUCUUGUAUCUUGCACUUAACACAUGUAGCAAUACCUAUAGGAUGGGGAAAACAGACGUGUGAUUCACCAGUAUUUGUGAAGUAUUUCAUUUUAUUACUAGUUUAUUGUUCCAUUUUGUACAAAAUAUAUGCUGUACAGAUAUAACAAAUUAAAAUGACAACAAAAGUCUUUUAGAUAAACUUUAUUUAUUUUUUACUGUUUUUGUAAUUUAGACACUAUACUGUAGCUCCUUUUUGGCCAGAAUUACUGAAAGUGCCUCUUGGUAUAAUGUAUUACAAAGUAAAUAUACAGUAUAUUGAGAUUGUUAGAAAAUUGUCACUAGCUGAACAAUGUGGAUGUUGUAAUGUGAAUACUGAAUAACAUGAGUUAAAUGCUGUGGUAA